rnacentral:rRNA from 14 species
AGUUUGAUCCUGGCUCAGAACGAACGCUGGCGGCAGGCCUAACACAUGCAAGUCGAACGGCACCUUCGGGUGUAGUGGCGGACGGGUUAGUAACGCGUGGGAAUGUACCCUUUUCUACGGAAUAGUCUCGGGAAACUGGGGUUAAUACCGUAUACGCCCUUCGGGGGAAAGAUUUAUCGGAGAAGGAUCGGCCCGCGUUAGAUUAGAUAGUUGGUGGGGUAAUGGCCUACCAAGUCUACGAUCUAUAGCUGGUUUGAGAGGAUGAUCAGCAACACUGGGACUGAGACACGGCCCAGACUCCUACGGC